UACGGAGGGAGCUAGCGUUGUUCGGAAUUACUGGGCGUAAAGCGCACGUAGGCGGCUUUGUAAGUUAGAGGUGAAAGCCCGGGGCUCAACUCCGGAACUGCCUUUAAGACUGCAUCGCUUGAAUCCAGGAGAGGUGAGUGGAAUUCCGAGUGUAGAGGUGAAAUUCGUAGAUAUUCGGAGGAACACCAGUGGCGAAGGCGGCUCACUGGCUCGAUACUGACGCUGAGGUGCGAAAGCGUGGGGAGCAAACAGG
rnacentral:rRNA from 1 species